AUGGUCCAGACGACCCCUUUUGUUGGCCAAAAUUCAAAUUUUAAAAGUUAAAAUAUCGAAGUCAUUUUAAUCGCAUUUUAUUCGGAGAAGACCGACUAUCAAUGCUGCAUACUAAAAAUUUUUAUAGAUGGCGCCACAUUCACGAAAUCGGAACUUAAACUCAGCUGGUCAUACUGAAAAAAGUUAGUAAAAGUGAAAAAAAAGAGUCUUUUUCAACAUCACAUUGCGCAAAAAAUACAACAAUUUUACCAAUCUUUAGACAUGAAUAAGAUUCAGUGGGGUUUGUACUACGUGUUGUGUAUAAUGAAAUGUUAUAUAUUGUUGUGGUGUCUUCGUAGUUAUAUGUUAAAGUGAAUCGUCUGAACUGUGAAAAUUGUGUAGAAAUCUCGUUUUUAAAAAGCUGUAGAAAGUGAGUCCAGCCUAGUCCAACCUUGAAACCUUUUCUCAUAACCUAAAAUUCGACAACUCAGAAUUGUUUGAAAUAUGGAAGUCUGUGAAGACCCAAGAACAAAAGUACAAAGCAAUUCUUGAUUUUUUUAAAUCUAAAACUAGUGGCGAAAUAUUUGAGAAAAAAAUGCAAGCUUUUGAGGAUGCCAGUAAGAAAAUAUGCUACCGUUUAACGGUAAAAUGGAAGAAUUGCAGAUCGAAUGCAAAGCUAUUUCAAAGGAGACAUUCCGAUUGGCUCUGUUCACAAACUUGUAUUCCGGUUGGAAGGAGAAAACAUUCAAUAGGACGCCCUGUACUAGACUACUUAGAAAAAUCUCGAAGGGCUCAAAGAAAACAGGUAGCAGAUCUUGUGGUGUCUGAAGGGGGAAACACAAGUUUAUUAAUUCAAUCGGCUAGCAUGGCCGCACGAAAACAGGGUAAACACGAUCUUGCAUUUGUGCUAAAGUUGUUAUCCUUAUGCCCAGAAAAGGCCCUACACAUUCGCAAAGCUAUUUCAGCUCCGAUU